UACGUAGGGGGCGAGCGUUAUCCGGAUUUAUUGGGCGUAAAGAGUGCGUAGGCGGUGAUUUAAGUCUAAGGUUAAAGUGCGAGGCUCAACCUCGUGAUGCCUUGGAAACUGGAUCGCUUGAGUAUGGUAGAGGUAAGUGGAAUUCCAUGUGUAGCGGUAAAAUGCGUAAAUAUAUGGAGGAACACCAGUGGCGAAGGCGGCUUACUGGGCCAUUACUGACGCUGAGGCACGAAAGCGUGGGGAGCAAACA
rnacentral:rRNA from 1 species